UCCGGUUGAUCCUGCCGGACCCGACUGCUAUCAGAGUGGGACUAAGCCAUGCGAGUUAACGCAGCAAUGCGUGGCAUACGGCUCAGUAACACGUAGUCAACAUGCCCAGGGGACGUGGAUAACCUCGGGAAACUGAGGAUAAACCGCGAUAGGCCAAGGUUUCUGGAAUGGAUCAUGGCUGAAACCUAUAUGGCCCCUGGAUUGGACUGCGGCCGAUCAGGCUGUUGGUGAGGUAAUGGCCCACCAAACCUGUAACCGGUACGGGCUCUGAGAGGAGGAGCCCGGAGAUGGGCACUGAGACAAGGGCCCAGGCCCUAUGGGGCGCAGCUGGCGCGAAACCUCUGCAAUAGGCGAAAGCUUGACAGGGUUACUCUGAGUGACGUCCGUUAAGGACGUCUUUUGGCACCUCUAAAAAUGGUGCAGAAUAAGGGGUGGGCAAGUCUGGUGUCAGCCGCCGCGGUAAUACCAGCACCCCGAGUGGUCGGGACGAUUAUUGGGCCUAAAGCAUCCGUAGCCGGUUCUGCAAGUCUUCCGUUAAAUCCACCUGCUCAACAGAUGGGCCGCGGAGGAUACUACAGGGCUAGGAGGCGGGAGAGGCAAGCGGUACUCAGUGGGUAGGGGUAAAAUCCUCUGAUCCACUGAAGACCACCAGUGGCGAAGGCGGCUUGCCAGAACGCGCUCGACGGUGAGGGAUGAAAGCUGGGGGAGCAAACCGGAUUAGAUACCCGGGUAGUCCCAGCUGUAAACGAUGCAGACUCGGUGAUGGGCUGGCUUUGGGCCAACCCAGUGCCGCAGGGAAGCCGUUAAGUCUGCCGCCUGGGGAGUACGGUCGCAAGACUGAAACUUAAAGGAAUUGGCGGGGGAGCACCACAAGGGGUGAAGCCUGCGGUUCAAUUGGAGUCAACGCCGGAAAUCUUACCGGGGGCGACAGCAGAGUGAAGGUCAAGCUGAAGACUUUACCAGACAAGCUGAGAGGAGGUGCAUGGCC
rnacentral:rRNA from 1 species